UGAACGCUGGCGGCGUGCUUAACACAUGCAAGUCGAACGAGAACUCUUUAGCUUGCUAAAGAUAGUAAAGUGGCGUACGGGUGAGUAACGCGUGGGUAAUCUACCUCCGAAUUGGGGAUAACAUUGCGAAAGCGAUGCUAAUACCGAAUAAUAUCUUUUAAGCUUCUGCUUUUUAGAUCAAAGAUGGUCUCUACAUGUAAGCUAUCGUUUGGAGAUGAGCCCGCGUACCAUUAGCUUGUUGGUAGGGUAACGGCCUACCAAGGCCGCGAUGGUUAGCUGGUCUGAGAGGAUGAUCAGCCACACUGGAACUGACACACGGUCCAGACUCCUACGGGAGGCAGCAGUGAGGAAUUUUGCGCAAUGGGGGAAACCCUGACGCAGCAACGCCGCGUGAGUGAUGAAGGCUUUCGGGUCGUAAAGCUCUGUCAAGUGGGAAGAACCUACAGGAUACCAAUAAUGUCCUGUACUGACGGUACCACUGAAGGAAGCACCGGCUAACUCC
rnacentral:rRNA from 1 species